CUACGGGGCGCUCCAGUGGGGAAUAUUGCACAAUGGGGGGAACCCUGAUGCAGCAACGCCGCGUGGAGGAUGACGCAUUUCGGUGUGUAAACUCCUUUUAUAUGUCAAGAAAAUGACGGUAGCAUAUGAAUAAGCACCGGCUAACUCCGUGCCAGCAGCCGCGGUAAUACGGAGGGUGCAAGCGUUACUCGGAAUCACUGGGCGUAAAGGACGCGUAGGCGGGCUUGUAAGUCAGGUGUGAAAUCCUACAGCUUAACUGUAGAACUGCACUUGAAACUACGAGCCUAGAGUAUGGGAGGGGCAGAUGGAAUUAGUGGUGUAGGGGUAAAAUCCGUAGAUAUCACUAGGAAUACCUAAAGCGAAGGCGAUCUGCUGGAACAUAACUGACGCUAAGGCGUGAAAGCGUGGGGAGCAAACAGGAUUAGAUACCCGCGUAGUC
rnacentral:rRNA from 1 species